ensembl:lncRNA
AUUUUAUUGCAUUUGUUUAUUGAUGUUUGUUGAUGUUUUUUAUUCUUGGCAGUGGGUGUAGGCCAAGGCCGGACUGUCUCCUGAACUCACCGUUUAACAGAUCCGGAGAUUGGAGGGAUGAGAGAGUGGGCAGAAACGGUUAAGGUAGGAGAGGUUGGGGCAGAGCUGGUUAAGGUAGGAGAGGUUGGGGCAGAGCUGGUUAAGGUAGGAGAGGUUGAGGCAGGAAUUUUUAAGGUAGGGGAGGUUGGGGCAGGGCUGGUUAAGGUAGGAGAGGUUGGGGCAGGGCUGGUUAAGGUAGGAGAGGUUGGGGCAGGGCUGGUUAAGGUAGGAGAGGUUGGGGCAGGGCUGGUUAAGGUAGGAGAGGUUGGGGCAGGGCUGGUUAAGGUAGGAGAGGUUGGGGCAGAGCUGGUUAAGGUAGGAGAGGUUGGGGCAGGGCUGGUUUGUGAUGGCUGGGUGGAAUGGGUUGUGAUUACCGGUAAUGGGAAUGGGGAAAAUAAGAAAUCAAAGUGUGGUGCAGUAGGUGAUAUUAAUGUGAAGGGACUGGACAUGGAGGCUGAUGGUGUUCCCAGAGGAAGGGUGGCUGAGGCACAAAUCCUGUAUGUCCAGGAUUUGUUGGAGCAGAUUGACUUGGGAGCCCUGUGGUGUCCAGCCAGAUGUGAUGGGUUGGGGUGUAGAGCCAGAGUGGAU